AUUUUUACCAAAUAUAGUUCUCUGUUACUAAUGGGCAAAGUUCAUUAUAGAUAAUGUAAGAAGCAAAAUCGUUCAGUAAAGUAAGAACUUCAAACACAUCACCAUCACCAAAAUACAAUUUUGUCAUGAAUCCAUUUGUGUCCUUUGUUUAAUAUGCACAUAGACCAAGUGAGCGACACAGGCUCUUUAGAGCCUCUAGUUCGUAAAAUCUUAGUUACUUUUACAAAAAUCUUCUCCUCUGAAACUACUGGACAAAUUAAUCCAAACUUGGCCACAAUCAUCAUUGGGGUAUCUAGUUUAAAAAAUGUGUGGCGUGACCCGUCCAACCAACCAAGAUGGCCGCCAUGGCUAAAAAAUAGAAACAUAGGGGUAAAAUGCAGUUUUUGGCUUAUAACUCAAAAACCAGAGCAUUUAGAGCAAAUCUGACAGGAGUAAAAUUGUUCAUCAGGUGAAGAUCUAUCUGCCCUGAAAUUUUCAGAUGAAUCAAACAAUCCGUUGUUGGGUUGCUGCCCCUGAAUUGAUAAUUUUAAGGAAAUUUUGCUGUUUUUGUUAUUAUCUUGAAUAUUAUAUAGAUAGAGAUAAACUGUAAACAGCAAUAAUGUUCAGCAAAGUAGAUCUACAAAUAAGUCAAACAUGACCAAAAUGGUCAGUUGACCACUUUAGGAGUUAUUGCCCUUUAUAGUCAAUUUUUAACAAUUUUUCUUAAAUCUUAGUAAUCUUUUAGAAAAAUCUUCUCCUCUGAAACUACUGGGCCAAAUUUAACCAAACUUGGCCAUAAUCAUCAUUGGCGUAUCUAGUUAAAAAAAUGUGUCCGGUGACCCGGCCAACCAACCAAGAUGGCCGCCAUGGCUAAAAAUAGAACAUAGGGGUAAAAUGCAGUUUUUGGCUUAUAACUCAAAAACCAAAGCAUUUAGAGCAAAUCUGGCAUGGGGUAAAAUUGUUUAUCAGGUCAAGAUGUAUCUGCCCUGAAAUUUUCAGAUGAAUCAAACAACCCGUUGUUGGGUUACUGCCCCUGAAAUGGUAAUUUUAAGGAAAUUUUGCUAUUUUUGGUUAUUAUCUUGAAUAUUAUUAUAGAUAGAGAUAAACUGUAAACAGCAAUGAUGUUCAGCAAAGUAAGAUCUACAAAUAAGUCAACAUGACCAAAAUGGUCAGUUGACCACUUUAGGAGUUAUUGCCCUUUAUAGUCAAUUUUAAACAUUUUUUAGCUUCACCUGGCCCGAAGGGCCAAGUGAGCUUUUCUUAUCACUUGGCGUCCGUCGUCGUCCGUCGUCCGUCGUCCGUCGUCGUCGUCGUCCGUCGUCGUUAACUUUUACAAAAAUCUUCUCCUCUGAAAACUACUGGGCCAAAUCAAACCAAACUUGGCCACAAUCAUCAUUGGGUAUCUAGUUUAAAAAAUGUGUGCGUGACCCGGUCAACCAACCAAGAUGGCCGCCACGGCUAAAAAUAGAACAUAGGGGUAAAAUGCAGUUUUUGGCUUAUAACUCAAAAACCAAAGCAUUUAGAGCAAAUCUGACAUGGGGUAAAAUGUUUAUCAGGUCAAGAUCUAUCUGCCCUGAAAUUUUCAGAUGAAUCGGUCAAUCGGUUGUUGGGUUGCUGCCCCUGAAUUGGUAAUUUUGAGGAAAUUUUGCUGUUUUUGGUUAUUAUCUUGAAUAUUAUUAUAGAUAGAGAUAAACUGUAAACAGCAAUAAUGUUCAGCAAAGUAAGAUCUACAAAUAAGUCAACAUGACCAAAAUGGUCAGUUGACCCCUUUAGGAGUUAUUGCCCUUUAUAGUCAAUUUUUAACCAUUUUUCGUUAAUUAAAGUAAUCUUUUACAAAAAUCUUCUCCUCUGAAACUACUGGGCCAAAUUAAUCCAAACUUGCCACAAUCAUCUUUGGGGUAUCUAGUUUUAAAAAAUGUGUGGCGUGACCUGGUAAACCAACCAAGAUGGCCGCCACGGCUAAAAAUAGAACAUAGGGGUAAAAUGCAGUUUUUGGCUUAUAACUCAAAAACCAAAGCAUUUUGAGAGCAAAUCUGACAUGGGAUAAAAUUGUUUAUCAGGUCAAGAUCUAUCUGCCUGAAAUUUUCAGAUGAAUCGGUCAACGGUUGUUGGGUUGCUGCCCCUGAAUUGGUAAUUUUGAAGGAAAUUUUGCUGUUUUUGGUUAUUAUCUUGAAUAUUAUUAUAGAUAGAGAUAAACUGUAAACAGCAAUAAUGUUCAGCAAAGUAAGAUCUACAAAUAAGUCAACAUGACCAAAAUGGUCAGUUGACCCGUUUAGGAGUUAUUGCCCUUUAUAGUCAAUUUUAACCAUUUUUCAUAAAUUAAAUUAAUCUUUUACAAAAAUCUUCUCCUCUGAAACUACUGGGCCAAAUUAAUCCAAACUUGGCCACAAUCAUCUUUGGGGUAUCUAGUUUAAAAAUGUGUGGCGUGACCCGAUCAACCAACCAAGAUGGCCGCCAUGCUAAAAAUAGAACAUAGGGGUAAAAUGCAGUUUUUGGCUUAUAACUCAAAAACCAAAGCAUUUUGAGGAAAUCUGACAUGGGAUAAAAUUGUUUAUCAGGUCAAGAUCUAUCUGCCCUGAAAUUUUCAGAUGAAUCGGACAAUCGGUUGUUGGGUUGCUGCCCCUGAAUUGGUAAUUUUGAGGAAAUUUUGCUGUUUUUGGUUAUUAUCUUGAAUAUUAUUAUAGAUAGAGAUAAAUUGUAAACAGCAAUAAUGUUCAGCAAAGUAAGAUCUACAAAUAAGUCAACAUGACCAAAAUGGUCAGUUGACCCCUUUAGGAGUUAUUGCCCUUUAUAGUCAAUCUUUAACCAUUUUUCAUAAAUCUAAGUAAUCUUUUACAAAAUCUCCAUUGAAACUACUAGGCCACAAUCAUCUUUGGGUAUCUAGUUUGAAAAAUGUGUCGAUGACCUGGCCAUUCAACCAAGAUGGCCGCCACGGCUAAAAAUAGAACAUAGGGGUAAAAUGCAGUUUUUGGCUUAUAACUAUGAAUUCAAAGCAUCUAGAGCAAAUCUGACAAGAAGUUAAAUUGUUAAUCAAGUCAAUAUCUAUCUGCCCUGAAUUUUUCAGAUGAAUUGGACAACUGGUUGUUGGGUUGCUGCCCUACAAUUGGUAAUUUUUAAAGAAAUUUUGCCGUUUUUGGUUAUCUUGAAUACUAUUAUAGAUAGCGAUAAACUGUAAACAGCAAUAAUGUUCAGCAAAGUAAGAUCUACAAAUAAGUCAACAUGACCUAAAUGGUCAAUUGACCCCUUAAGGAGUUAUUGCCCUUUAUAGUCAAUUUUUAACAAUUUUCAUUAAUUUGGUAAAUAUAUGUAAAUUUUUACCAAAUAUAGUUCUCUGUUACUAAUGGGCAAAGUUCAUUAUAGAUAUAAUUGUAAGAAGCAAAAUCGUUCAGUAAAGUAAGAACUUCAAACACAUCACCAUCACCAAAAUACAAUUUUGUCAUGAAUCCAUUUGUGUCCUUUGUUUAAUAUGCACAUAGACCAAGGUGAGCGACACAGGCUCUUUAGAGCCUCUAGUUCAUAAAUCUUAGUAAUCUUUUAGAAAAAUCUUCUCCUCUGAAACUACUGGGC
rnacentral:lncRNA from 1 species